UACGUAGGGGGCAAGCGUUGUCCGGAAUCAUUGGGCGUAAAGAGCGUGUAGGCGGCUAGAUAAGUCCGCUGUGAAAUCUCGAGGCUCAACUUCGAGCUGUCGGUGGAAACUGUCUGGCUAGAGUCCGGAAGAGGAGAAUGGAAUUCCUGGUGUAGCGGUGAAAUGCGCAGAUAUCAGGAAGAACACCCGUGGCGAAGGCGGUUCUCUGGGACGGUACUGACGCUGAGACGCGAAAGCGUGGGGAGCGAACAGG
rnacentral:rRNA from 1 species